rnacentral:rRNA from 1 species
CCUACGGGAGGCAGCAGUGAGGAAUAUUGGUCAAUGUACGAGAGUCUGAACCAGCCAAGUAGCGUGAAGGAUGACUGCCCUAUGGGUUGUAAACUUCUUUUAUAUGGGAAUAAAAUGUUCCACGUGUGGGAUUUUGUAUGUACCAUAUGAAUAAGGAUCGGCUAACUCCGUGCCAGCAGCCGCGGUAAUACGGAGGAUCCGAGCGUUAUCCGGAUUUAUUGGGUUUAAAGGGAGCGUAGGUGGAUUGUUAAGUCAGUUGUGAAAGUUUGCGGCUCAACCGUAAAAUUGCAGUUGAAACUGGCAGUCUUGAGUACAGUAGAGGUGGGCGGAAUUCGUGGUGUAGCGGUGAAAUGCUUAGAUAUCACGAAGAACUCCGAUUGCGAAGGCAGUUCACUGGACUGCAACUGACACUGAGGCUCGAAAGUGUGGGUAUCAAACAGGAUUAGAUACCCGUGUAGUC